rnacentral:rRNA from 1 species
CAAUAGCAUAUAUUAACGUUGUUGCAGUUGAAAAGCUCGUAGUUGAACUUUUGGUAGGAGCGACCUGGCCUUGGGCGCAUGCCCUUGUUUGCCGUGUGUCGUAUCUGGCCAUCCUUUUCCGUUUCGGCGGGAAUCCUUUACUGUGAGUAAACUGGAGUGCUCAAAACAAGACGUUUGUUUGGUACAUUAAAGCAUGGAAUAAUAAGAUAGGACCUGGUUACUAUUUUGUUGGUUUGCAUAGCUAGGUAAUGAUUAACAGGGACAGUUGGGGGUAUUCGUAUUUAAUUGUCAGAGGUGAAAUUCUUGGAUUUAUGAAAGACGAACGACUGCGAAAGCAUUUACCAAGGAUGUUUNCAUUA